GCAUAGACCUAAGUAAGAACGGAGGGCCCUUCCUCCCCUCCACAGAGACUGCGAGAAGAAAUGAACAGCAGAGGGGGCUUAACUUUGAGCCAACUGAAGGGAUGGCAUAUGCCAGUGUCUGUCUCCGUCCACAGCCCUUCUGUAGCAUGACAGCAUCAGGCCUGAUAAUGCCUGCUUCACCAGGGAACUCUGAGUCUCCACUCUGAAUCACGGGAAAAUCCCAAUCCUAAAGGAGAAUAUAAAACACCCAGCAGAGCACGAGGAAAGUCCAAGCACACACGUAAACCUAUACACAUGCUGCUCAUCAUAAAGAAUAUCUUACUACGUAGAAUCCUGACCACAUUAACAGUGACCAAGAUUUGUGCAACCCAAACCGGAAUGAACGUAAUUGCAAAGGCAUGUGGUUCUCUGUGAUGAUAACUAGAAACAUGAAGACUGUUCCAGACUAAUAAUUAUAGAAGUUCAACACUGUUUUGAGUUCCUGUAAUGUUGUGUUAUUCCUACAACAAGCAAGUAAAAGUUUAAACUGGCAUGCAAUGAGUUCUAAGGACAUUCAUUUGUAAACAAGUAGCAAAGGAA
rnacentral:lncRNA from 1 species